rnacentral:lncRNA from 1 species
CCUUUCCUGUUAAUUUAUUUCCAAAUUUAAUCUCCAUUCAAAUAUGAUGUUUUAUGAAAUAUAAUGUCCUUUUGUCACAUUGUGCACUAAGAGUAUUACUUUUCUAUUUUGUGUGGGGAAGGCUGUAAUAUCUGUUCAGCUCUAUCAAGAACAAAUGUACAGAGCGUCCCACCUAUUGAGACACUGCCUUAUUUCAGGUUAGCUUCAGUAUAGAAGAGGGAGAAUUGCUGUGUUCCUGUGACCCUGGGGAAAAAGGAAUUCCUAGAUUCACCUUCAGGACAAAGAUUGACCCGGUAGAAAAUAAAACUGAGGAAAGAAGAAGAUACGCACAACAGAGGGGAAGACAUUGGCUGAGCCUCACAAACAUUGCAGAUAUCCCUAUGUGACUCAGAAUCAACACAAGAUCCUGCCUUUAAACACUGAUGCCGAAAAUCAAGAACAUCCUUUAAACUGAAACCAUCAGAACAAACAUGUUUAAACAACACAAAUGUUAUUAUUAAUGUAAAGCAUUUCUAAAAUGCUUUUUUAAAUGUGAAAAAGCAACGAAAGUUUUAGUUCUGACACCACCAGACAAAUAGCUAGGAAACAGACACUUCUGUCUUCACAACAGUAAAAAUAAAACAAACUGAAAAUCAGUAAGUUUUGCGGGCCUAUCAGAAAACUAAGAUUGCAGGAAGAGCUGUCACACCCAAAUAUGAAGAAAUAGAAGACUUCAGAGAGACAAAACCAAGUUCUGCUUAUCAGAAGUAGAAGACACUGGAGACAUAUAAACUCAUAAGAACACUUAGAACACUUACAUGGCAAUGUUAACAAAUUGCUGUAAUCUGAGUAUGGACUAUCUUGAGAGUGAUAAUCCCUUAAGAGCUUCAGUAUUAGAGGGGCCUGCCACAUUCACGGCCUUUAUCUACAGUUAUCUCACCAGAUACUCACAGUGAAGAUGCCCUUGUAGCUCUGGCUGGGGCGGAGGAAGAGCAAUCCUUGUGAAUUACCUCCAGAGUAUGCUCUGUAAAACAGGUUUAUUUUUCCAGGAGAAAAGACACUAACAGCGUCUUCUAAUGUCCAUGAGGUGAUGAAUGAUGACCCUUAUUUCAUUUCUCUUUUAUUCUUGGUUAGCCUGGUUAGAUGUUUAUAAAAUUUCUUAAAUUUUUCGUAAAAGAACUGAUGGCUGGAGAGCAUUGAAACAGACAGAUGAAAAUUAAAGAAGAAAUAAAAAUAAAAUUAAAAAGGGAAAAACAA